rnacentral:rRNA from 1 species
CUUACUUAAGUGGAAAACGAUGUGAAGUUACUUAAACAACCAGGAGGUUGGCUUAGAAGCAGCCAUCCUUUAAAGAAAGCGUAAUAGCUCACUGGUCUAGUGAUUUUGCGCGGAAAAUAUAACGGGGCUAAAGUAAGUACCGAAGCUGUAGACUUGCACACAACUUAGAUUAUUUAAGUUUAGAAUAAGUAGUUUAAGUUGUGUGCAAGUGGUAGGAGAGCGUUCUAUUUGCGUCGAAGGUAUACCGGUAAGGAGUGCUGGAGCGAAUAGAAGUGAGCAUGCAGGCAUGAGUAGCGAUAAUUAAUGUGAGAAUCAUUAACGCCGUAAACCCAAGGUUUCCUACGCGAUGCUCGUCAUCGUAGGGUUAGUCGGGUCCUAAGUCGAGUCCGAAAGGGGUAGACGAUGGCAAAUUGGUUAAUAUUCCAAUACCAACAUUAGUGUGCGAUGGAAGGACGCUUAGGGCUAAGGGGGCUAGCGGAUGGAAGUGCUAGUCUAAGGUCGUAGGAGGUUAUACAGGCAAAUCCGUAUAACAAUACUCCGAGAACUGAAAGGCUUUUUGAAGUCUUCGGAUGGAUAGAAGAACCCCUGAUGCCGUCGAGCCAAGAAAAGUUUCUAAGUUUAGCUAAUGUUGCCCGUACCGUAAACCGACACAGGUGGGUGGGAUGAGUAUUCUAAGGCGCGUGGAAGAACUCUCUUUAAGGAACUCUGCAAAAUAGCACCGUAUCUUCGGUAUAAGGUGUGGUUAGCUUCGUACUAGGAUUUACUCCGAAAGCGAAGAAACUUACAACAAAGAGUCCCUCCCGACUGUUUACCAAAAACACAGCACUCUGCUAACUCGUAAGAGGAUGUAUAGGGUGUGACGCCUGCCCGGUGCUCGAAGGUUAAUUGAUGGGGUUAGCAUUAGCGAAGCUCUUGAUCGAAGCCCGAGUAAACGGCGGCCGUAACUAUAACGGUCCUAAGGUAGCGAAAUUCCUUGUCGGUUAAAUACCGACCUGCAUGAAUGGCGUAACGAGAUGGGAGCUGUCUCAAAGAGGGAUCCAGUGAAAUUGUAGUGGAGGUGAAAAUUCCUCCUACCCGCGGCAAGACGGAAAGACCCCGUGGACCUUUACUACAGCUUGACACUGCUACUUGGAUAAGAAUGUGCAGGAUAGGUGGGAGGCUUUGAGUAUAUGACGCCAGUUGUAUAUGAGCCAUUGUUGAGAUACCACUCUUUCUUAUUUGGGUAGCUAACCAGCUUGAGUUAUCCUCAAGUGGGACAAUGUCUGGUGGGUAGUUUGACUGGGGCGGUCGCCUCCCAAAUAAUAACGGAGGCUUACAAAGGUUGGCUCAGAACGGUUGGAAAUCGUUCGUAGAGUAUAAAGGUAUAAGCCAGCUUAACUGCAAGACAUACAAGUCAAGCAGAGACGAAAGUCGGUCUUAGUGAUCCGGUGGUUCUGUGUGGAAGGGCCAUCGCUCAAAGGAUAAAAGGUACCCCGGGGAUAACAGGCUGAUCUCCCCCAAGAGCUCACAUCGACGGGGAGGUUUGGCACCUCGAUGUCGGCUCAUCGCAUCCUGGGGCUGGAGCAGGUCCCAAGGGUAUGGCUGUUCGCCAUUUAAAGCGGUACGCGAGCUGGGUUCAGAACGUCGUGAGACAGUUCGGUCCCUAUCUGCCGUGGGCGUAAGAAGAUUGAAGAGAUUUGACCCUAGUACGAGAGGACCGGGUUGAACAAACCACUGGUGUAGCUGUUGUUCUGCCAAGAGCAUCGCAGCGUAGCUAAGUUUGGAAAGGAUAAACGCUGAAAGCAUCUAAGCGUGAAGCCAACUCUAAGAUGAAUCUUCUCUAAGCUCUCUAGAAGACUACUAGUUUGAUAGGCUGGGUGUGUAAUGGAUGAAAGUCCUUUAGCUGACCAGUACUAAUAGAGCGUUUGGCUUAUCUUUAAUAAAGCAU